CGCAAAAACAAAACAGCUGUUAUUGAUUGUUACUUACAUCGAACGUAUAAAUGGAUUAUUUAUACGUUCAUCAAUUUUGAGAAGGCAAGCGAUUUAUUGGGUUAUUUACGUCGGUCACACGUGACCUUUACAGUUUUUACGUACAUAUUCGGAUUUGCACCUGCUGCGCAAUAUUGUUUAAUAUAAAGCAAGAAAAAGGCCGAUGGAAAUCGAAAGAUGUGCAAGAGGCGCCGGGUCCCCUUAACAAUAAAUUGGAGGUGUACGCUGUCGCUAUAAAAAUAGGUAAUCUCAAAUUUCACUUAUUCUUACCUGUAAUGCAAAUUGAGUGAACAGUUACAGGUUCGUGGGAAUUAAUAAUGGAUAAAGAGUCCAGAGAUAAACCGUUAAUGGAACGAAGCUCAUGUUCUACGACUCUUGUAAGGAACAAGCACAUCGACAAGUUGAUGCUCCUUCGUAAUGGAAAUUGUGUCGAGUUCAAUCGUGAUAUAUCUACUAACACGAUAAGUUAAAUAUGUAAUCUCCAUUGAAUGAGAGAUUUGUAUAUUUACAAGAUGCUAAUACAUGUACCUGUGUAGAAACACGAGCACGUGAGACAUUGUUAGACACGUAUCUCGUUCUGUUUGAUGGGUGCACCGUAGUAUGUAAACGAUGACGUCGCUAACAAAGUUACACAAAGAUUGUCAAAAAAAAUGUGUAUCCUGAUAAUUAAACGAUUAUCCUAUUCGUCA